UCCCUCACAUCCCCUUUCUCUUAAGCCAAUUUACAUUAUUUCCUGUCUUUUAGGUGGAGCUUGAAUGACUCUAGUCAGGCAUACCUUAGUUAUGAUUGGUGAAAAGUUUUCUUGCUUUCGUUUAAAGGUAGAGGAGUCUGAGAAA